CCCUUAGAUGUUCUGGGCCGCACGCGUGCUACACUGAGUAAUUCAAUGGGUAAGGGAACGCUAGAGCAUUACCUAAUCUUGAAAUUUGCUCGUGAUGGGGAUCGACGGUUGCAAUUCUCCGUCGUGAACGAGGAAUACCUUGUAGGCGCAUGUCAUCAUCAUGCGCCGAAUACGUCCCUGCCCUUUGUACACACCGCCCGUCGCUCCUACCGAUUGAGUGAUCCGGUGAGGCUCUGGGACCUGGACGGAAAGAGCGUUUCGCUUGUUCUGUUUGGGAAACUUGGUCGAACCUUAUCAUUUAGAGGAAGGAGAAGUCGUAACA
rnacentral:rRNA from 1 species